UACGUAGGGGGCGAGCGUUGUCCGGAUUUAUUGGGCGUAAAGAGCUCGUAGGCGGUUCGAUAAGUCGGACGUGAAAUCUCCACGCUCAACGUGGAGGGGCCGUUCGAUACUGUCGUGACUCGAGUCCGGUAGGGGAGCGUGGAAUUCCUGGUGUAGCGGUGAAAUGCGCAGAUAUCAGGAGGAAUACCGGUGGCGAAAGCGACUCUCUGGACGGCAACUGACGCUGAGGCACGAAAGCGUGGGGAGCAAACAGG
rnacentral:rRNA from 1 species